rnacentral:rRNA from 1 species
GAUGAACGCUGGCGGCGUGCCUAAUACAUGCAAGUCGAGCGAACAGACGAGGAGCUUGCUCCUCUGACGUUAGCGGCGGACGGGUGAGUAACACGUGGAUAACCUACCUAUAAGACUGGGAUAACUUCGGGAAACCGGAGCUAAUACCGGAUAAUAUAUUGAACCGCAUGGUUCAAUAGUGAAAGACGGUUUUGCUGUCACUUAUAGAUGGAUCCGCGCCGCAUUAGCUAGUUGGUAAGGUAACGGCUUACCAAGGCAACGAUGCGUAGCCGACCUGAGAGGGGGGUCGGCCACACUGGAACGGGGACACGGUCCAGACUCCUACGGGAGGCAGCAGUAGGGAAUCUUACGCAAUGGGCGAAAGCCUGACGGAGCAACGCCGCGUGAGUGAUGAAGGUCUUCGGAUCGUAAAACUCUGUUAUUAGGGAAGAACAAAUGUGUAAGUAACUAUGCACGUCUUGACGGUACCUAAUCAGAAAGCCACGGCUAACUACGUG